rnacentral:tRNA from 1 species
UUGUGUUCUGGCUCAGCGAGAAGUCGGCGCGAUCAUGCCGCGCAAGCCGCUGGUGCGGUGGGUGCGCUGCGCGAUCGCCUCGAGCAGCACGGC